rnacentral:lncRNA from 1 species
ACGCAGGCAGGGUUGUGGUUGCUGGCUGUUACCAGGACAACCGGAGGCGAUUGACCGUUAUCUGCGGUUUGGAGCCGUUAGCGGGAGAGGCAGAGAUAUUCAGAGGUCUUUUAGGAUGCGCUAAAGGGUCGUGAGGGCUCUCUUAAAAUUUUCUUCACAAGCGGUUAUCCAGUCGUGCCCCGCGGCCCUGCUGCUGGCCCCGGGGAUCUGAGUCGUACCCUCUUGUUUUUCUCUGAGUCAGUCUUAAGGUGAAAUGAAGUGUGGCCCAGUGGCUCCUCACUGUCGCUUCUCUAGUUUUCUGCCUCCUUUUAGAAAAUUGAAUUGAAAAGACAGGAUGAAGUGGACACAGCAUGUGAAGACAAUUCUUUCAAGAAGUUUGGCUGUCAAGGAAAACAGAGAAUGUGAGUAGCCAAAGCAGAAUGACAGUGAAAGAAAGAAAUUGGGAGCCAGACAAUACAGCCCGACAGUUUACGCCUGUGCUAAAGAACAUACAGACACAGAGCAGACAGGCCACCUUUGCAACCACAUGGAGGUUUGUCUGAUAUUGAAGCUAAAGAAGCUAAGCUGGAAGACAGAGAGACCAAGUCCUGAUGACAUUGUUUGAACCCAGAGAUCCAGACAUGCCUGAAAACUAGUUUUACCACUGGACUUAUCCGUUGAAUGAGCCAAUAAACUCUCUUUUAUACUUAACCUUGGGUUUUACCUGGAUUUUUGUCAUUGACAGCUCAAAAUAUUCUAAUAUAGAAGUAUACAUCAUUAAAUCAACAUUUCUUUUUUUCUCUGUCUUAUUUUAAAUGUAACUCUAUAAGGUACUCUAAAAGUAUUCUACAGUCUCACUAAGUUAAUCUGCAAAUUUGGUAAAAUUCCAAUAUUAAUCCCAAAAGUAUUUUAAGAGCUUGUUUUUGUUGUUUGCUUGUUUGGGACUAAACAGAAUUACUCCAAAAUUCAUUGAGAGAAAAAAAAACAUGAAAAAAAAAACAAGAAAA